UAUCUCUGUAGAGUCUGCAUAUCAAUAAGCGGAGGAAAAGAAACUAACUAGGAUUCCCUCAGUAACGGCGAGUGAAGCGGGAAGAGCUCAAAUUUGAAAUCUUCAAGGUUCUACCUUGACGAAUUGUAGUUUAAAGAAGUGUUUUCUGUUGGAGUUUUGGUAAAAGUUCUUUGGAAUAGGACAUCAUAGAGGGUGAGAAUCCCGUAUUUGACCAUUAUUUCCAGCUUUGUGAUACACUUUCAAAGAGUCGGAUUGUUUGGGAAUGCAGUCCAAAAUGGGUGGUAAAUUUCAUCUAAAGCUAAAUACUGGCGAGAGACCGAUAGCGAACAAGUACCGUGAGGGAAAGAUGAAAAGAACUUUGAAAAGAGAGUUAAACAGUACGUGAAAUUGUCAAAAGGGAAGCGUUUGACACCAGUGUUGUUUUUCUGAAAAUCAAUUAAAGAACUGUUUAUGCUAAGCUGUUUAGACUUUAUCAGCUAUCUGUUUAGUUUUGAGCUUUUCUUUAAUGCACUUUUCAGUUAACAAGUCAACAUCAAUUUCUUUUGCUGUAAAAAAGCUUGAGGAAGGUGGCUUGAGAUUCGUCUUAAGUGUUUAUAGCCUCUUGCCUAUGCAGUCGGAGAGAUUGAGGUCUGCAGCGUAGAUCCUUCGGGGCUAAAUGCAUUUGUGCUGAGUUAUAGCAUUUUAUAGACAACUUGUUGACUAUGAUUUGUCUUGUAGCUUACUCGCUUAUGUUAUUUUACCUACGCUUAGGAUGUUGACGAUCAGCUGAGCGCG
rnacentral:rRNA from 1 species